GCGCCCGUAGCUCAAUUGGAUAGAGCGGUGGACUACGGAUCCGCAGGUUGCGUGUUCGACUCGCGUCGGGCGCA
rnacentral:tRNA from 1 species